CAUGAUUGUAUUCCUCUAUGCGAUACAGCUGAUCAGGCGUACACCUCUCCAAAACGGGUUCAAGAACAGAAUACGGGACGCCUCCCACUUCAAAGAUUGCUGCAGAGAAUCAAAGUACCCGGAUGCACUGCUGGUGCAAGGUCAUCAUUUUGGGGAGAUAAGCACACUUGGAACCAGAGUACACCUGCAUCUUAGAAUUCAUUCUCCGUCCAGUGAAUCCAACUUCCUCCUCCUCCUGGGAAGAAGAGUGUGCUGUAACGCAAGAAACACAGAACAGAGGGGUAGAGACAGAGAAACAUCAAUUUGAGAGACAUCAACUGGGGGCUGCAACCGAGGGACAUAUCCUUGACUAGAAUCGAACCCAUAACCCUACAGUCCGAGGGCCAACACUCUAACCACUGAGCAAACCGGCUAGGGCUCAAACAGACCUUUACAUGCCUACCCUUGAUCCUCAACCAGAUAGUCCCCAGCCAAUUCAAAGUUAUACUUGCUCCAUUUCCACCAGAAGUCAUGUAUGUACAUGUAAACAUACUACCAUUCAAGAAGCUGCAAAUUACAAGUAGUUCAAAAUAGAGAACUGUGACUAACCUUUACAUUUACAUAUUAGUUCUUUUUCCAUGUAUAGCCCAGGACAUAUAAGUAUGUCACAAGCUACAGGUGGAGUAGCAAGUAUGUUUUUCUGAUCACUCUACUUCAAUAAUUACUGAAUAUGGUCACUAGGCAGAGCAACUGGAUCACAUAUAACAUUGUGUGACCAGGAACAAAUGAGAAGCAAGUGGUGGAUCUAGGGAGUUUCACCUUCAUAGUUGAGUGAAAAUUAUACUCCACUUCAAAUCUGGCUUUGUGUUCUGAAGUGAACAUUAAGAAGAUGAGAAGCUUCCAAUAUCCAACUUAGGAAAAACAAUUCCUCUCCUUAAAGGAACACUGAGAAUCACUGAAAAGGUUAGAAAUACAUUGUCUCCCCUAAUACCAUUCCCGGGAAGGCAUUUAUAUGCCAACUACUGUGUGUCGAUGACUAUGUUAAGUUCUUACAUGUGUCACCUCAUUUAUUUCAUCUUCAUUAACCACCUCUAUAAAGUGGAUAUUAUUCUCCCCAUUUUAUAGAUAUGGAGACCGAGCUCAGUGAGGCUAGGUAACUUACCUAAUGAGCUAGUAACCAAGUAUACCUACCUCAGUAUGUGCUACAAAGCCAGAAGCAACAUCCAAAACAAUAUUGUCCUUAGGAAACAGAGCUGUAGUUUACCCCAAAGCAAAAAGCUCCUCCUUAUAGCAUCAUAUUGUCAGACAGUUUAGAGUCCACAGCGUAAAGGUCGCCCUGGGGACAAAGGAUCCUCAGGAGCUCUGAAAGCCAAUGUUAAGGAUGGGUCAGAAGUCACUGAGAGGUGUUCCAUCGCAAAGCCUAGCACUAACUGGAGGAGCAGAUGCUACCUUCCUGGUUUGCUUUGGGUUCGUAAGGGCGACUUAAGAGGAGACAAAGCUAAAGCCCUGGAGAUUUUCAAAACGCUUUAGCCCCAUAAGUGAGAGGAAAGGGACUUCAGAGCCCUCUGUUUUCAAUGAGGUUCAAGAAAAAACACACACAGAGCAAUAACAAGGUAAAAGCACUUUGGGCAUCCUCAGGUAGAUGGAAACUUGUUAUUAAGCCAAAAGACCAUUGUAGAGUUUGCAAGAACUGAUAACAGGUCACUGAGAAAUGUCAAACAUUUGCACAGUACAGUGGGGCCUUGACUUAGAGUUUAAUUCCUUCAGAGACCGAGCUCGUUAACUCAAAUUACUCUAACUCAAUGCAAAAAAUCAGCCGAGAGACAGCUGGUAUCUCAAAAACUCGUUAGUCGGGACACUUGUAAGUCAAGGCCCCACUGUACAUGCUUAGGAAUUCAGCUGUCCUCUGCACACGUCUUCGAAUCCAAAGAGCAGAAGAUGUUCGUAAGGUUGACUCCUUAGUCUCCACUUGCCAUCAAACUGUGUUCUGGGUAGUUUCACAUUCAAAAUGUAACAAUGGACAGGUAACUUUACCAGCCAUAAAAAUUAUUUCCCAUAACAUAGUAGCAAUCAAGUGAUCCUGGUCUCUGCCUGACACCUUUGCACCAAGUAAACCUUGACCAUAGAUGGACUUAAAAGUGAAAAUAGUUAAACACCAAUAUUAAUACCAGAAAAUCCACGAAUAUAUGCAUGGAAUCCACCCUUUGGCUAAUAAUGGUUUGAAAUCAGGAUUUAGUUGCAAUUCGGUACUGCUAUAUAAUCAUCUUGCAAUUUCAAGAACAACCUGUGGGAGCUUGUUGGGUUAACAGAAGGUUGAGGAAAAGGCCAUUGUGCCAGCUUGCAGUUUUCCCCCUGCAGUUAGCUCAUUUCUGCACGCUAGCUAAUGCUAGCGAAAAUGAUCUCCCAACAUUUUUCUCAUCUUCUUUUAAUUUUUAAAAAUUGAUCUUAGAGAGAUGGAGGGGGAGAGGGGGAGAGGGGAAGAGAGGGAGAAG